UCCUCCAUCAUACAAAUACAUUGGAGACAAUUGUCCUCCUCCAGGCUUGUGGUCACAGUUUGGUGAAGACCCUUUUCUGUCCCCCCCCAUGACUGUCCCC